rnacentral:lncRNA from 1 species
GAAAAAUAAUGAUAAAACAUGAUACUUUGAUUACUGUACAAACAGUUUUACAUAAUUCUGAUGAAAAAAUUAUGAAACUGGAAUAAAAGUAAAAUAACAAACAACACAAUAACAAAUUUGAGGGAUGUAAGAAAAUAUACCUGACAUGCUUAAGGAUGUACACCUCUGAGGAGCCAAAAAUUUCUAGAAUUAAACUUUUUUUCUUAACCUGAUUUUUGGGUUUAUAAGACUGUAAUAAAAUAAUUGGUGAAGAAAAAAAUCAUAUGGUGGUGCACUUCUAUUUUUGCUACGGCCCUUUGAAAAUGACCAAUUUUGAUGAUUUUCCCAUUUUUCAUUGAUUUUUACCUAUUUUUGGGCUAUUACCAUGAAAAAAAUCACAGUUCCACAAUUAAACUUUUUCUCAUACUUUCUAUAAAGAUGAAGUGGACCAAUCGGAAUAAAUUUUACUUACAAAA